CGCAUCUGUGCAUGCAGCAUAUCAAUAAGCGGAGGAAAAGAAACUAACAAGGAUUCCCCUAGUAACGGCGAGUGAAGCGGGAAGAGCUCAAAUUUGAAAUCUUAAAGGGUUUCCCUUUACGAAUUGUAGUUUAAAGAAGUGUUUUCUGUUGAGGUUUUGGUAAAAGUUCUUUGGAAUAGGACAUCAUAGAGGGUGAGAAUCCCGUAUUUGACCUUUACUUUCAACUUUGUGAUACACUUUCAAAGAGUCGGAUUGUUUGGGAAUGCAGUCCAAAAUGGGUGGUAAAUUUCAUCUAAAGCUAAAUAUUGGCGAGAGACCGAUAGCGAACAAGUACCGUGAGGGAAAGAUGAAAAGAACUUUGAAAAGAGAGUUAAACAGUACGUGAAAUUGUCAAAAGGGAAGCGUUUGACACCAGUGUUGUUUUUCUGAAAAUCAAUUAAAGAACUGUUUAUGCUAAGUUGUUUAGACUUUAUCAGCUAUCUGUUUAGUUUUGAGCUUUUCUUUAAUGCACUUUUCAGUUAACAAGUCAACAUCAAUUUCUUUUGCUGUAAAAAAGCUUGAGGAAGGUGGCUUGAGAUUCGUCUUAAGUGUUUAUAGCCUCUUGCCUAUGCAGUCGGAGAGAUUGAGGUCUGCAGCGUAGAUCCUUCGGGGCUAAAUGCAUUUGUGCUAAGUUAUAGCAUUUUAUAGACAACUUGUUGACUAUGAUUUGUCUUGUAGCUUACUCGCUUAUGUUAUUUUACCUACGCUUAGGAUGUUGAGCGCAUGUCUCUCUCU
rnacentral:rRNA from 1 species